rnacentral:rRNA from 1 species
UACGUAGGGAGCAAGCGUUGUCCGGAAUCAUUGGGCGUAAAGCGCGCGUAGGCGGCCCGAUAAGUCCGCUGUGAAAGUCAACGGCUCAACUGUUGGAUGCCGGUGGAUACUGUCGGGCUAGAGUACGGAAGAGGCAAGUGGAAUUCCUGGUGUAGCGGUGGAAUGCGCAGAUAUCAGGAGGAACACCUAUAGCGAAGGCAGCUUGCUGGGACGUUUACUGACGCUAAGGCGCGAAAAGCGUGGGGAGCGAACAGG